UACGUAGGGGGCAAGCGUUGUCCGGAUUUAUUGGGCGUAAAGAGCGUGUAGGCGGCCAUGCAGGUCCGUUGUGAAAACUGGAGGCUUAACCUCCAGACGUCGAUGGAAACCGUAUGGCUAGAGUCCGGAAGAGGAGAGUGGAAUUCCUGGUGUAGCGGUGAAAUGCGCAGAUAUCAGGAAGAACACCCGUGGUGAAGGCGGCUCUCUGGGACGGUACUGACGCUGAGACGCGAAAGCGUGGGGAGCGAUCCGG
rnacentral:rRNA from 1 species